UACGGAGGGAGCUAGCGUUGUUCGGACUUACUGGGCGUAAAGCGCACGUAGGCGGCGAUUCAAGUCCGAGGUGAAAGCCCGGGGCUCAACUCCGGAACUGCCUUUGAAACUAGAUUGCUAGAAUCUUGGAGAGGCGAGUGGAAUUCCGAGUGUAGAGGUGAAAUUCGUAGAUAUUCGGAAGAACACCAGUGGCGAAGGCGACUCGCUGGACAAGUAUUGACGCUGAGGUGCGAAAGCGUGGGGAGCAAACAGG
rnacentral:rRNA from 1 species